GGAAUAUUGGACAAUGGGCGCAAGCCUGAUCCAGCCAUGCCGCGUGGAUGAUGAAGGCCUUAGGGUUGUAAAGUCCUUUUAGCGGGGAAGAUAAUGACGGUACCCGUAGAAAAAGCCCCGGCUAACUUCGUGCCAGCAGCCGCGGUAAUACGAAGGGGGCUAGCGUUGCUCGGAAUUACUGGGCGUAAAGCGCACGUAGGCGGCUUGUUAAGUCGGGGGUGAAAUCCUGGAGCUCAACUCCAGAACUGCCUUCGAUACUGGCGAGCUCGAGUUCGGGAGAGGUGAGUGGAACUGCGAGUGUAGAGGUGAAAUUCGUAGAUAUUCGCAAGAACACCAGUGGCGAAGGCGGCUCACUGGCCCGAUACUGACGCUGAGGUGCGAAAGCGUGGGGAGCAAAC
rnacentral:rRNA from 1 species